UACCCUUGUCUUUUGCGCACUUGUUGUUUCCUGGGCGGGUUCGCCCGCCACCAGGACCACACCAUAAACCUUUUUUAUGCAGUUGCAAUCAGCGUCAGUACAACAAAUGUAAAUCAUUUACAACUUUCAACAACGGAUCUCUUGGUUCUGGCAUCGAUGAAGAACGCAGCGAAAUGCGAUACGUAGUGUGAAUUGCAGAAUUCAGUGAAUCAUCGAAUCUUUGAACGCACAUUGCGCCCUUUGGUAUUCCAAAGGGCAUGCCUGUUCGAGCGUCAUUUGUACCCUCAAGCUUUGCUUGGUGUUGGGCGUUUUUUGUCUUUGGUUGCCAAAGACUCGCCUUAAAACGAUUGGCAGCCGGCCUCCUGGUUUCGCAGCGCAGCACAUUUUUGCGCUUGCAAUCAGCAACAGAGGGCGGCACUCCAUCAAGACUCCAUUUUCACGUUUGACCUCGGAUCAGGUAGGGAACACAGGUC
rnacentral:rRNA from 1 species